CCCUCUGUAGCUUACCCUGUCUCUUCCAACAGAAUAGUUUUUCAUGGAAUUAUUUUUUUGUGUGUGUAAAGUAGCUGAAGUUUUCUAUAGCUAAAACAGUAUUCCUAAAAUAUGAAAAUACAUUAUGUUACUGCCUCAUCAAAUCAGUUGUCCAUAAAUGAAUGGUAAAAACUGGUCAUUUCAUUAACAAUGGUACUACUAGGACCCUAUUCCACUCUGUUACGCUUGUGUAAAUUGAGAGUUACUGUUGAAUUCAGGCAGACAAGGUUCUUUGGGUAAAGGCAAUAUCUUUUUUAGACCAAUUAAAUAGUUGGAAAAAUUGUUGAAUUCAGGGCACUUACUCUGGUGAGUAAGGAAAUAAUUGGCCUAUGGCAUGGAAAUGAGCCAGAGUGACUUCUCUGAGGAAAAUUAGGGAGCCAAUACUAUUAGUUUCAUGCUUGUGAUACUUCUCUUUGCCUUCACUUCAGCCACAUUAUUCUGCUUCCUUUAUCUUCUGUUAUGGCAGACAUUCUAGUGAUGGAAGCAUUUCUGUAUAUGCAAAUACAAUUGGUACACUUUUUCCUAUAGGACUGGGUUCUUCUGUCCAUUGCCUAGACUCUAAAAGCUAUUUUUUUAAAGUUGUAUGUUGAAUACAAACAAGAAACAUAUGCUUAAUUAUAACUCUGAUCCUGUUUUUUUGUCCUUGUAGCUGCUUAUGAAAAGAAGUAUCUCCCAGGUAAAAGUGCCUUAACAACCACUAUGGUUGUAAUUUUUACUAUAGUUAUGACCGUUUCUACAGCUGCAGUUUGGUACCUAUGCAAGAGAAGUAUUUCUGCUGCUUCUGGACCUUCAUGUACAGCACACCAUUCAACAGCUCAAGUACCAUACAGUGAUGAAACUGUUCUUGUAGAUGCAGAAGAAAAUGAAUAUUCUGCUUAAAUUUAAAAUCACUGUAAAUUUUCAUAUUUAAAUACCAAAAAGUGACAACCUGUCAUCUGUUUCAGAUUUGUUUCAGACAUACAACUACUUAAAUAUGUGCAUAACUUUGCUCAUGUCGGUAAUGUGCUGGCUGUUGUUAGGAAAUGGAUAGAAAAGAUGGUUUAAGACAAACAUCAGAGUAUCUCAUAUGGGGCUGUCAAGCAUUCAUAUUCAUAAAGUAUAUUGACUGUACAUUGCAGUAUUUCACUGUCUGAUUUAGUGAUGUGACAUUCUGAAAGAAGUAAGCAUUUAAUUAUAUCACAGAUGUUAAAACUUCAAAUUCUGCAGUUUUCUAUAAAGAAGCUGUUUUUUUAAAAAAAAUUGUCUUUGUUCAUGAUCUCCUUUUUCAUUCCUGUGAAUAUUCUAGUAAACCACAUUUGGAAAAAAUG